rnacentral:rRNA from 1 species
GAUUGAACGCUUGCGGCAUGGCUAAAGCAUGCAAGUCGUACGCGAAACCGGCUUCGGCCGGGAGUAGAGUGGCGAACGGGCGAGGAAUGCGUUUCUAACGUGCCCCAAGGUCGAGGAUAGCUCGGGGAAACCCGGGGUAAUACUCGAUGACCCCCAUGGAUCGCAUGGUUCGUGGGGCAAAGGCUUGCUGCCUUGGGAUCGGGAAACGCCCUAUCAGGUUGUUGGUGAGGUAACGGCUCACCAAGCCUAAGACGGGUAGCGGGUGUGAGAGCAUGACCCGCCGCAUCGGGACCGAGACACUGCCCGGACUCCUACGGGAGGCUGCAGCAACGGAUAUUGGGCAAUGAGCGAAAGCUUGACCCAGCAAUGCCGCGUGCAGGAGGAAGCCCCUCGGGGUGUAAACUGCUGUCAGGGUUUAGGAAGUUCUGACCAAACCCAAAGGAAGGGCCGGCUAACUUCGUGCCAGCAGCCGCGGUAAUACGAAGGGCCCAAGCGUUAAUCGGAAUCACUGGGCUUAAAGGGUGCGCAGGCGGAAUGGUCAGUGUCUUGUGAAAUCCCACGGCUCAACCGUGGAACUGCAGGGCAUACUGCCAUUCUUGAGGCCGGUAGAGGCCGCCGGAACUCUAGGUGUAGCGGUGAAAUGCGUAGAUAUCUAGAGGAACGCCAAAGACGAAGGUAGGCGGCUGGGCCGGUUCUGACGCUCAGGCACGAAAGCGUGGGGAGCAAACAGGAUUAGAUACCCUGGUAGUCCACGCCGUAAACGUUGUGCACUAGGUGCUGGAGGUUCUGACACCAUCAGCGCCGAAGCGAAAGUGAUUAGUGCACCGCCUGGGGAGUACGGUCCCAAGGCUAAAACUCAAAGGAAUUGACGGGGGCUCACACAAGCGGUGGAGCAUGUGGCUUAAUUCGAGGCAACGCGAAGAACCUUAUCCUGGGCUUGACAUGCAUGGAUUAACGCUGGGAAACCAGCGCCACACUCUUUGAGUGGGAACAUGCACAGGUGCUGCAUGGCUGUCGUCAGCUCGUGCUGUGAAGUGUUGGGUUAAGUCCCUUAACGAGCGAAACCCCUGUCGCUAGUUACCAUCAGGUAAUGCUGGGGACUCUAGCGAGACUGCCGGUGUCAAACCGGAGGAAGGCGGGGAUGACGUCAAGUCCUCAUGGCCUUUAUGCCCAGGGCUGCACACGUGCUACAAUGGCGCCGACAGAGCGAAGCAAAACCGCGAGGUAGAGCAAAUCGCAAAAAAGGUGCCCCAGUUCGGAUUGCAGUCUGCAACUCGACUGCAUGAAGCCGGAAUCGCUAGUAAUCGCGUAUCAGCAACG